rnacentral:piRNA from 1 species
UAACGGACAAUUCUUGAGUUA